CCGUCUCUGGUCCUUAUGCAGGCUGGAUUCGUGGCUCAGGCGUGAUUUCUCCUUAUUAGACGAAGGCUGUAACCAGAGAAACCUACUAAGAAUUUAAUGCAGCCGAAAAUAUAACUGAUUCCUAUUCUAUAAGAAGCGGCGCAAUUGAACAAAGAACACAGUAGAAAAGCAUCGAGGAAGUGUCCGCAGGUGAUUGAUGAGACGAAUAUAAACCGAUGAAGAAAUGUGUAAUUAUUUAAUAAGAAAAAAAGUAGUAUUUGAUCGUUUCAUUAGGAAACUGAAAAAAUACAGCUGCGUGUAAGCAAAAACGUCAAACCAACUCACGCCAGUGAGAAUUAUAAUAUACGUUCUUAUUCGUCUUUAUAUAUCUGUAUAUAAAGUUCCUGAUUUUGACUUACAAAGUCAUCGAAACUGUUAAUAGAUUCAAGAUGAAAUUGUCAUCUCAUCUCAUAAAUACAAGUGGCAUGCGUUUCUAUCUUAAAAACAAAUAAAAAAAUAAGCCGUUCUCUGAUAACCGAUGCUUUCUCAUUAUACAAGCACUUUUUUUUUUAUUUAACAAACUAAUAACUGCUUACCGUCAAAGUGAAUGAUUUGAGUUACCGGUCAAGUUAUGGCAUAUUUUAAAAUACCAGUCUAUCGGGUCAAAACGAAAGCAAAAAGAAGACGUAGGAACUCGAGUUGGCGUAAAGAUUUUAUUGUACGGUUGGUUUACGUAGGAUAAAUGAAAUGCUUUAAAAAAUGCAAAACUCAGUCCUGUCAACCACAAAAUACCAAUCGCGUGUUGAUGACAUAAUUAAAAUAUGCAAAGAAAUAUGUUCUGGUACGAUGUACACGAAACUGUCCCUGCUGUACAUUUAUACAUACAACUGUUACAUCCAAAUCGACAUUAUAAAUGGAAACAUUUCUUGGACAACCAUUAGCCCGCGCAGUUGUAUCAAUGAAAUAUAUUUGCCAAACGAUCUUUUAUUUUUAGUGUCAAUACAAAGAGUAUACAUUAACAACUGUAAUAAUAAUGACUAAUUACGAUUAUACAGAAAUCUACUGCUAAAUCUUAAAAUACCAAUUUAAGGCGACUGUCUUAUUAAGUGGCUCUGUUUUACCUAAAACAGAAAAUGACUAAUACAACGAACUGACAAGCCUGUCAAUUAAAAAUAACUGCCGGCAGCUAAAAAUGUUCUAAGAAUCUUGUGUCGAUUUUGAUAUAUGGAAUCGAACAGGCCUUAGCCUAUUUCUAGACCAAAAACAAUAACCCCUGUUCGUAUGCCGUUAACGUAGCCUAAGUAAAAUUCACACCACGCAAACGGUAUGAGCCAUCGUGAGUUAUUUUGGGAACAAAAUAAUAGCGCUGUCCAAUAUUGGCAAAGUACUGUAGUACGAGGCUUAGUAAAUAGUAUGCUUAUGUAGCGAGUUUUGAUUCUAUCAGCGACGGCUUCGCGAUGACUGUUCAGUAGCUAUUCCAUUAUUGGCAAUGGAAUAUACAUAUUAUACGUGCGUACAAUUUUCGCAAUGGUUUGUAGGAAUGUCAGGGAGUGUUUGAGAAUUGGCACGUCGCGAAUAUCGAUCCAAUCUAAAAUUCACUUGUAGUAUAAACAUCGUUGUGUUUAUCAUCGAGCGUCGAAUGAUAAUACGUAUCGUAAUGACACGAUAAAAAUCUCCGAGACGUUUAUUGCCAAUGUUUCGAUUCGAAAACUCGCGCGCACUUCGCAAUGAGCCACCAGGGUUAUUCGUGGCGUUGGGUUCUGAUUGUAAAGCAGUUAUUAAUCGCACGGUGAAAACUAAUUUUUAACGGUCUUUGGGUUUAAUAAUUUCAUCGAUAACAAUAUAUCCGAGUGGCUGCAGCCUUCUCUCGUUAUGUUUCAUAAAUGCACAAGGCGGGCCCACAAUGUAUAUGUAUUACAGAGAUCGGUAUUUCGUUUCGUUGAUAUCUUAUUCGAAUCGUACCUAUAGUUCAUUACCAUCCAUUUUAUGAGCCUUCGGAUUAUACGUUUAUGCGAAGAGUUACGCAGCAAUCAAUUGUUAAUCCUGAAUUGAACGUCAGAAAGGAGAUAAAGAUCCAUACCGAGAGGAGCACUGAGAUUUCCAUCGAUUGACAAGAAUACGCCAUGACAGUUUUGCAUUAGCCUUGGGAUCAGUAACCUCCAAUAUAAAGUCUAACUCGUUCCGCUUGACGUACAACGUGCAUAUUGCAACUGUGAUUUUAAUCAAACAUCUAAUCAUUGCUGUCGUUUGUGUAUUCACAUCUUAAUUCGAUGUACGAGUCAUCAGUGUACAGAACAAGAUCAUAAAGUGCUGUAUACAAUUUUGUUGCUAGAUAGAACGAGUUCGAAUAAUGUGCAGGCGAGCACGCAAUUCACAUAUGUAUGUGCAUUGGGUCUGCGCACCACGAAUGGCGUCGCAGGGCUGCGGGAGAGUUACGUCACGUAAACAUUCGGAAAGCGACAGAAAGCGUUACCAAGCACUUCGCAUUGUGAUGGGGGAAUAAUACACAGGACGGAAUUAGGUCGAGAAGGAUAUCAAGACUGGCGUUUCAAGGAUAAAUGAACUAAAAUUCAAUCACGAAGAACCGAUGAGGUAUCACGAAAAAAGGUAGCAUGUCUCAUUCCACCGAUAUGGCAACAUUGGAUUCCCAAGAAGUGGUACAACGCCAGGUUAACCCCUUGCAUUUGGAAGCCGUUUCGCAUUGAUGCAACGUUCGUGCCGAUGUCUCAGAGCGAGGGACAACCAGGUAUAGAGGGUUAGUAAAGAAUAGAAAUACGCAAUUCAACGUGAAACCUGCGCGACUAGUUCCGCAGGACGUCACGUGACCCGGCAAAGCUCGUCCGAUUACAUACACGCGUACUUCCUUGCGAAGGAAUCGCGCAUGAAAGGCAUGCAUAAUUGAAAAAAAAAUAAAAAUAAAAAAAUAAAGCAAUUCGUCACCAUCCCACACGAUCAGCCCACAAGAAGUCACAGCAAUUACUUUUGUCAUGGUCGCCAUUGUUCCUCGAGCGUGUCGCAGAGUAACCCAACGACGUUCCGGUUUAACUUUCAAAUGGUUCGAAUCCCGCAAGAAAGAUAUUUCGCGUAGCACCUUGGAACUGAUAAGCAGCUUAACGACGGCCACCUCUCCACGUCAUCAACGCCUAAUUGUCGCGGACAAUCUCCCUCAGUCGCUCACUAUAAUAGUCAUUCGUACGAGAACACUCAUAGUGUUUACGUACGAUAGAGUCAAAGCUUAAGAAAUGUAAAUCUUGUCCAUGUUUGUAAUCAAGACCAGAACAGAGCCCGAAGCACCAAGAGUAAAUUACGAUAUCGCCAAGACCUGAUAAAGAGAAUGGCGUCUUCUCUGCUUGAUGUUAUUAACGAUAUUAUAAACAUGGGACUUUAGAACGGAAGUUUGAAUUUCAACGUGAUACACCAUGAAAGAAGAUUGGGUAUAAUUGCUGCACGAUACGUAAGAGAUGGAAGCAAGAAUUAUGGCCAGAAGGAAAAAAAAAGGAGUGAACGAGGCCGCACGCGUCGUGUCGAUCAAUAAUUCCGCUCGAAAGUUUCGGAAGCCUUGAUCAUCGCGUGUAUUAGAUAUGGCACGACACGUGCACCAGAUCUACAGUUGGACUGACAGUGGUAGAUCUAAGAUGGAACAUUCACGUCGACGCAAGAGAAACGAAAUUUAUAUUUUUACAAAAUGCGAGUCUAUAUGACUGUGUAUCUUUUCGUUACUCUUUAUUGUUUUCUCUACAAUUCCUUUUUUUAUAUGGAGUAUGCGUUUCGUCAAAGUUCAAUAAUAUUAGUGAUUAUUCUUGAUGUAACGUGCUAAGAUGGCAGUUUUGUAUGCUUCUUUUUUCUUCGCUAAGAGAUCGUUGAUACUGUAGACUAUCAAAUGUCGAAACGAUGUUCUUUGGACAUUCUGAUUAUAGAAGCCGUUUUUCAUCUUGGUAAAUUCUCAGUCUUUCUCUAUCAUAUAUAAUGGUCCCAUGGUAAUUUCAAUGGCGGUUCACGAGAAUCUAGAACUUUGUCAUAUAAUUUGCCCAGACUGUCCUCAACCUUGAUAAUGUUCCCGUUCUGUCCUAGGAAGUCCGUAAACCUUGAGGUGUGUCUACGUCCUAAUGCUUUCCCAACCGUGCCAAAACUCGUGCACUACGAGAAUCAUCCAAUAUGUUGAAUGGGAAGAGGAAAAAUAUUUCAACAUAUUAAAAAAAAUAGCAAGUGGAACGAUUACUAGAGUAACAGCGUUCCGUACGAUGCUCGAGUUGGAGCCGGUUUGACGAUAAUGCGGCGUGCGCCGCUUGCUGCUUCGCUAUACUCAAUAGAGGAGAGAGCACGAACGUCAUUUUAUCGCCUUACGUGCGCACCCGACUCUCUCGUCUCCCACUUCUUCCAAACCGGUGUAUAUGAGUACCCUAAAGCCACUGUCAGACCCGGGUAGCGUAUUCGUGGACCGGAUUACUCUCAGCCUAUUACAGCUGUACCUCAUGUUUCACAGGAACGGUAAUGACUCGAAUGAUCCAUACGGCGGCGUUGUUUUAAUCGCUUCGAAAGAAAUUGGAUAACGAAGAAGUUGAUGAGCCUUAUGACAUUAUUGGAAUUUUACAUGGAAACCUUUCUUCACCAUUUUUAUUACUCCAUGGAAGAACUUUUCUAAGGCUCUUUAUGGGCAAUAACCACACAUGCUCUGUAUACACGUACAGAUGUGGAUUCCAGUUCAAUUUUUCUCCAGGUAUACUGUGAUAUCAGUAGCAGACAGAGAUGAUGUGAUUCUUGAGAUGAGGAUUAAUAAACGUCUCUCGUUUAUAAUCUCUAAUCUGUGUGAAAGAGUACGUUAUACUGGUAACCUUGUACCGUCUAGGAUCUAUAUGCCUAUUUAGGUAUGUAUAGAAUGUAAUAGACGAAGACUAGUUUUCACAAAGUACGCCUCCUUUCUCUCCGGAUCUGUAUAUCUUUGUAUGAUAAACAAUUGAGAAUCGAGGAGGAAAAAAAUUGAAGAAAAAAACUACCAACCACUUAUUCGUCAUUCCGUGGGUGUUUGGAAUUAAACACAAACUUGCCCAAUUGGAUCCGGGAUAAAAGGGAUGCUCUGAAAAGUUUGAAUUUACAUUGGAAACAUAGAUGACAAAGUUUCCGUUGUUCGCACAAUUUUUCGUGACCUCAUCGCAGAUCCCACGAUUAUAUUAGGUACAAGAAGGAAUGGAUCAAGAAUGAGGAAGAUCUAAAUUAUAUGAAAAAAAUCUCUAAGCAUUUCUCUGAUACAGCAAAUACCUUAUCGAACAAAAAUCUUACUGUCACAAGAUGAUCCAAAUGACUCGAUUCUUGAGCAUCGAGAGAAACGUUAUUACCCAGGACCUGUUCUACGUCUUAUACCGACAGAAUCCAUUGCCCUUCCUGCUCCGGCGAUGCCGAAAAAAUGACCUACUUGCGAGAACAACGAGAGAAUCCACUGCUCUGUACAAUUGGCCCACAUUUCUCAGUUCCUGGUCUGAAGUCGUAACCGAUAAACGUCACGUAGCUGUAAUUACGGCCAUGAUACUUACGGUUCUUGAAGGGCCGAUGACGCAAGCUCGGGUACUGUUUUCAUUCAUGAAAUUCUGCUUGGAAGGAACUUGACUCAUUUCCUUUGACGAUUAAUUGAAAUUUAUAUAUUUAAAAUCAUUUGACUUCCUUUCGCUUGUCUCUGGUACACGCUAGUUGUAUGUUACGAUUCUUUCUGUAAAUAGUCUGCUUCAAUUUAAUAAUUAACGUAUCCUGAGGUUUUUCACUGAAACAUAAAUUAACGUUUACAAAUAGUCAACCUCGAGGAUACGCUCCUGGCUCGUCAAGGCUGCCUUAUCGUGGGAAGUAUACUUUACAGCAUGUUUCUCAACUACAUCGUACAGGCAGCACAUGUAUACGUAUGUACAUACCGUAUCGUUAUGCACGCAAGAACAUGCGUCGCUCCACGUGGUGCUAACACGCGUCAGCUUGCUUUUUUUACUUUUAAAGAUUUCCAGAAGUGCAGAAUUUAUCACCAGUAACAAUUAGCAAUUUCAAAUGCCGUAAACGAGUUUUACCAUAAUUAUAUUGUCUGAAAACAAACACACUGUUAAUUAUGUUAUACUGUAUUACUGUAUGUGUUUCUUCAUUCCAGCUACAAGAUGCGAUACGCAGGUAUAUGGAAAAUAAUAUCUCCGUGACACGAAAACCAAGUGGUCAUAACACAACGUAACAUCUAGGAGAGUCGCGGAAUAGAUGGAGCAUUAGCAUCUGAUUAUAUUCUCUGCUGAAAUAUCUAUCUGUAACUAUUUCCGCGACGCAGUUAUCUACGCUCGAACAACGUUAACUUCAGUGGGAAGACGAUCGAUAAUUUCGUUAUUGUAGAUUGUCAUAAAUUUGCGUACAGGAAUCAGGACGCCCAUAUACUAAGUUUCGUAUAUGUAUGCGUAUACAUGCGCGUUUAAGAAAAGGAAAGAAAAUCUGUCAGGGUUCACAAAGUCUUACCGAUUACGUUUAUCAUAUAGAAUUAUGCAAUUGUUCAGCAAAUGAAUAUAUGCCGGUUCAAGGUUAUUGAAUGUAAAUGAAAUGCAAUCACGAAAUCGCGUGGUUCCAUAUGUAAAUUCGUGUAAAAAUAUAUCAACGCCAUCCAGUAUUGACGACUGAAUAGGGCACCGAUGUAAAAACGAAUUAUUAUACUCCAGUUAUUCAGCUACUAAAGGUCAUUAAUUACUUGCAUCUCUUUAACCACCCAGCCGUGAAUCAUAUAUUCAACUAUUUGUGGCCUACAAUUCUUUUAUACUCUUGUACCUGGGUAAUGAAUGCCGAGUUAGGCCGUUUAAUACUUAAAUUUAUAAUUCCAAUUAAUCGAGUUUCUAACGAAUAUAAAUAGUCCUAACUAGUACAAGGUAUCCAGCUUCAUAAAAGCCGUCCUGCAUGUGUUUACUUUAAAGAUAAAAUGGAAAAACCACGUCCAUGUAGGUAAUAGCAUUGCGUAAUUAAUAUUGCUGGUUUUCAAGCCCACAAAUUCAAUUUUAUAUGUAUAUGUAUAUCCUAAUUUUAUUCUACAAUGUACGAGUUAGUCCAAAUCAUUUAUCGUUUUCAACGUGGACAUAAAUACCAGUGCUAGAAUAUAGAAUUUAUUGUGUAAUUAUACGUCGCAACUGAUUUCGCUAUAUCUUCUGCCUAAUGUGUUAUUUACAACGGACGGCUCUGGCGCCAAUACGCGUAACCGAAAAGGAAGCUUUCGUGAUAUCGAACGAUUAAGUUGCCGGAUAUUGCUUGUUAGCAAACAGCAUCUCUGUAUACGAAAGAACAAAUUUCAUGCGUAGAUUUCGUGGAAGGUGUUAAAGAAAUUCAGCGUUUAGUUGGAUGAACACUAACCUGCGUCAAUAUGUAGAAGAAUAUAUAAACAUAUGAAACAAGUCGCCGGAAAAAUUAUGCAGAACGUGACAAUCCUUGCUGAUUUAUUAUUUAUCAUAUUACCUGUAUGCGUACAAUUAUAAUUAAAUAUUAAUGAUCAUGCGUAGAUCUUUACAUCCGUAACGGAUUCGUUGCGACCGAAUUUUUUAUAUAUAAAUUGUCAAGUCUCAAUUCGGUGAUGAAUUGGUAACAUUAUGCUUGUUUGUCAAUGUUUAAUUUAAAAGUAACAAAAAGAAACAUAGGUGCUUUUAUGAAUUUUUAGUAUAAAAAUUUGCAAAAUGUUUUAGUUAGGACGUGUUCGGCAUAAAUGCAUUUUUAUGUACACAGAGAAUGGUAGACGUGUGAAAAAUUUUAACUGGAGAGGAAAAAAACACCUUGACCAAUUGGUCGAGGAAAAAUACCUAUGCCGAUUUUUGCGUCAUUGGUCCUCGUCCGAUUUUAUGUGAUCAUCAAAAUGUGUCGGUCUACUCGUAAAUUCGUUCAGGAAACAUAUUUCCAUCAUCAUGAAUACCAAACAUUCAAUGUUUAUACGCUAAAAUUAUUGUUCAGUGGUGAAAUCGUCUAUUGUUUCACGUGGUAUACAUCCGGAGGUUAGGAAUACAGGAGAUACAGUUUUCUGCGUUCAUUCUUAUAAAAGCUAUUGAAAGUGAAUGUAUAUCAUUGAUUCUGUCCUACCUUUGUUCGCAAAUAUAUCGGACUACCGAUAUUUACUUUUUUCCCGUUUGCGACGAAAUUUAUCACUCGUUAUACACACCUAUGGCCUACGCACGUAAGUCGAUCUCUCUAUAUCGCAAAUCUCGAUUAAAACAGUACAUUUUCGAAAGUUUUUCGUGCGCGCCAUAAAAAAUAUCUCAACUUGUAUAACGAGGAUGUCGAUACUUUAAAAAAUAUGAGCUUCCGUCUGACAGAAUUCUAAAUUGAUGUAAAGCCGUUCGCCAAUUCUUGAUCGAGCAUGCUCAAUGUAUUUUUACAAAUACGCCGGACUAACGUAGACACGGUUUGACGUCAGAAGACCAGAUCGUAUGUUUGGAUUGAUUUUAUGGUCAAGAAUGGUAAUAAUAAGGCCAACGGCAAAUUAAUUUUGGUAUCCUCAUAUGACGUGCAUUCGUAUUGUGAAUGAUAAGUUUACUUGCUAAUUUAUUGUUCACUGCGCACUCCCAUUCCACACAUGAAAGAAUGCUCCCUUAUUGGCGGGACAUAUCGUACGAUUAUAUGGCUUGGGUAUAGUAAUUGGUAGACGAUUGAAUAUUCUCUCAAAUGAAUAUGCACAUUAACGAUAAGAAGUUUAAUAACAUCAUUCAUGACGUUAAUACGAUCAAUGAUUUUUUUUCACUUUAGACAUAUACACAACCUCGAUUUUCCUAUGACUCUUCUUAUUGACCAAUGCGUAAUGGCGUUCAUAUAUAGCGCGUGGGAACUCGGCGCAUCUUCAUAGGCUUGGUUACGUGAUAAUGCACUUAUUUUCCAUGCACCGAAUGUCGUUCAUUGACACCGUCAGUGUCAUUAUGCCUUGAAGAUAAAUAUAUCAAAAGUGUGUAAGGGUCGUUCAACUUAUAAAUUGCAUAUAUCAUACAUAUAUAUGUAUCAAUAUGAAUGUGUAUACACUGGGGUAUUCACCGCAAAUGUACCACCUGAAGUUAGCGCAUCCACUUGAUUCGGAUGGUAAAAUCAUUAUGCAUUUGAGUUGACAAUUCGGGUGUAUAUGUUAUAUUAACGGACGCUUAAUUCUAUAAAAUCAGAUGAGGAUUUUCGUAAUUAACGAAACGAACUCACUACACGAAAGUUCACAAACUUAAAUUUAAAUAAAAUCAUCAUUUUCCUUCUUAUUUUUUAGAUACCAAGAUCAUGCGAAGGAAUGCAAAGCACGAAUCUUCGUUCUUGUUUAUAAUUCACUGUUUAAAGUUGACACCUGAUGACGGAAUGCAUAUUAAGUUACACGCUCGACUAUGAGAAAUAUUCCACUGUUCUAACAAUCCAUUAAUAUAUACGUAUGAGUUUUAAACAGGAUUAUUUCUUUAGGGUGAGACAGAGAACCCGGAUAUCAUGGAGUAGGUAAAAGAUGUUGAUGUCACGUAAUAAAAAUUGUUUUGUUAUUUGAAGUGAAUUCAAAAAUAUUUCUCAAGUUUUUCUUCCCUUUAUCCUUUAUUUUUACACGUCUAUUUUUAUUAGGUAAUGAUUGUCCACCCUGUGUCACCGUUCAUUUAAUACAUGUUAAUAAAAAUGAUGGCUACUA